CUUGGAUUUUUUUUAGGCAUAUGCAGUGCUGCUAAACCUUUUAAUGGCACACAUAUUGAGAAUACUGAGGAGGACCUGGUUGCUAGUGCACCUAGGAGUCUUGAAUUGGCUAAGUGCAGCCCCAUUUCCUACGAAAUAAUCCAAGAUUUUCUUGAAAGUUCCUCUCUCCACAAUGCAAAGCUCUAGUGGUCCGAUUGAAUGUGCUUUUCUUGAAACCACAUAACCAUGAUCAACAAAAGAAGCAUCCAUUUCUCUGCAACACUCUCUAAGAACACCCUCCUCUACCUCUCCUUUGAUUUCCCAGUAAAUUACGUAGUGACCAGGUUGGUUGACCACAUCAGCAUGGCUAGUAAAAUCUACAAGCUCUGCUCUAGCCUUGUUCAGUAGCUGAGACCCCCUCUCCACCACUUGUUGAAGGUCCUUUUCAGUAUUCUUGUCAAUGUUCACUGUUAGUAUUAGCUUUCUCCUGCAUAUAAAGUUCAGUUUGGGGGUCCCUUUGUGGAAACCAGCCACUUCCACUACAUCUCCUAAUCUGCAUCUAUAAAGCCCAGUAAAAGUAGUGAGAACAAUCUCAUACUCUUGUCCAACUUUAACUUUAGAGAGUGGAACCGGCUCAUCUUCUAUGAAGUCAUCAAUGGCUGUACUGAAAUCUUGAUUCUGUCUAUAAAGUGGCAUGAACUCAAAAUAAGAAAAAGUGGGUAUUACUGCAAAAGUAACAUUCUCUGGAGGUAAAGAGGGAUCCACAUUAACCCCAAUCCAACUCUCUGUGGAUCCAUAAUCAGCGCUCACUAAUGGUAUACCCCCAGCAUAAUGCCUUAGUUUUUUCAUGUAAGGUUGCAUGGACCCUGUCAUUAUAGAGUAUACAUACUUGGCAUUAGGCCACAAUUUAGGAAUCAGACCAACCCAGUCCAGAUUUUCUAGCUUCUUGCAGUUUUCUUCAAUUCUUGAAGCUAAGCUUGGGUUAGGAGAUGAUGAGAUGAUAUCCAACACAGAUGUCCUCAUCUUAGGCAAGGUGAUUCUUGUACUUAAACUUCCUUCUUUAAUGUCAUUGCAAAUCUCUUUCCACAUCUCUUCAAAUGCUCCAAAGGCUUGUACUAUGCUAUAGGCAAAAGUGGAGGUUAUGAACUCUACUUGAUCACAGAAGAAGAGACCAAGAAGAAGAUGGCAAUAAGUGGAUUGCUUGUAGUCUCCACCAGAAAUGACUUCUGCUGGGCUACAUGUGAAGGACUUGGUUUUUUCUUGCUUGAUCUUGAACUCUUCACUUGCAUAGUAGUGGGUUGUAGCUGUUCCCACUGUUAAACCUCCUUUCGUUUUGAACUGUUUGCUGCUGUAUAUCAACUCUAGGAUCUUCCCUCCUUCCCUUAUCGGAUAGACCCUUGAUCUGUAAGCAGCUGCCAAGCUAAAAAUAUUAAGAGUUGUCUGGGAGCUAUGGCGAGUGAAGGGAACAAACUUCUGUCUCCCUUCUGUGGUUCCAGAGCUUAAAGAGAGAGUGGUUAUUGGUUGUUGAGUGAGUAGAGGAGUUGUGUCCCCAUCUGCAAUUCUCUGAAUAUAAGGCUCCAAAUCUGCAUGGGAGGCAAGAGGCACCAAAGAGGUGUAGAGAGAUUCCAAUGCACAUGCAUCCAUAUCUUGGAUUUUGAUGUCCCCUAACCAUUUCUUGAGAUAUUCCACACCCCAGUUGAGUUCAAGAAUCCGGCGAAGAGUCUCCGUCUGAACAAGGCCAGCUUUCUCUGACACAUGGUCGAACCAAGCAAUAAUGUCGACAUCGUAUCCAUGGCUUCCAUUGGUUUCAAUACUCAAAGAAGCAGCUGCUGGUUCCAUUAAGAUGGUGGAAGCUAGCUAGCUAGCUUUAAUUGGCUUUUGCUGAAGCAGUAGUUGUCGUUGUAUCACAAUAGUUGUAGUGGGUGGCAAUAAUGCAAGCGGAAGUGGGGGGUCUUCUGUCUGUCUCUAGUUCUCUACUCACUGCCUUUUCUCAUAUAAUGCAUAGAGGAGAAUCCACACAUAUUGAAAUAUCCUUCCUUUGUUGUAGACCUAACCCAAAAAGCCUAAUCUAAUUUGAUUCAAU
rnacentral:misc_RNA from 1 species